rnacentral:rRNA from 1 species
CACGUAGGGGGCGAGCGUUGUCCGGAUUUAUUGGGCGCAAAGAGCUCGUAGGCGGCUCAGUAAGUCGGGUGUGAAAACUCCAGGCUCAACCUGGAGACGCCACCUGAUACUGCUGUGGCUAGAGUCCGGUAGGGGAGCAUGGAAUUCCUGGUGUAGCGGUGAAAUGCGCAGAUAUCAGGAGGAACACCAGUGGCGAAGGCGGCUCGCUGGGACGUUACUGACGCUGAGACGCGAAAGCGUGGGGAGCAAACAGG